UACAGAGGUCUCAAGCGUUGUUCGGAUUCAUUGGGCGUAAAGGGUGCGUAGGCGGCGCGGUAAGUCGGGUGUGAAAUCUCGGAGCUUAACUCCGAAACUGCAUUCGAUACUGCCGUGCUUGAGGACUGGAGAGGAGACUGGAAUUUACGGUGUAGCGGUGAAAUGCGCAGAUAUCAGGAGGAACACCGGUGGCGAGGGCGGGUCUCUGGGCCGGUACUGACGCUAGGGAGCGAAAGCGUGGGGAGCGAACAGG
rnacentral:rRNA from 1 species